rnacentral:rRNA from 1 species
UACGUAGGGGGCUAGCGUUGUCCGGAUUUAUUGGGCGUAAAGAGCGUGUAGGCGGCCCGGUAAGUCCGCUGUGAAAGUCGGGGGCUCAACCCUCGAAUGCCGGUGGAUACUGUCGGGCUAGAGUGCGGAAGAGGCGAGUGGAAUUCCUGGUGUAGCGGUGAAAUGCGCAGAUAUCAGGAGGAACACCGAUUGCGAAGGCAGCUCGCUGGGACGUUACUGACGCUGAGGAGCGAAAGCGUGGGGAGCGAACAGG